UACGUAGGGUGCAAGCGUUGUCCGGAAUUAUUGGGCGUAAAGAGCUCGUAGGCGGUCUGUCGCGUCUGCUGUGAAAACUCGGGGCUUAACCUCGGGCCUGCAGUCGAUACGGGCAAACUAGAGUGCGGUAGGGGAGACUGGAAUUCCUGGUGUAGCGGUGAAAUGCGCAGAUAUCAGGAGGAACACCGGCGGCGAAGGCGGGUCUCUGGGCCGUAACUGACGCUGAGGAGCGAAAGCGUGGGGAGCGAACAGG
rnacentral:rRNA from 1 species